UCUGUCAGGUUCUCAUCAUCAGGAGAAAAACGUCCAACGCCAGCAAGGAGUGACAGGUGAAGAAUGCAAAACAACUGCAGACAAUAGAUCAAAAGCCCUGAGCAGGAGGAAGCAUCCCAACCCAUCCUUUCUGGGGGAGAACAGAGACAGGAGAGCGGGAAACAAGAAGACAAUGCGCCAUCAAAGCUGCCGCAAGGUGUUGGAUCAAUGACAACAUCUGCAUGAGGGUCUGGGCUACAAUAGAAGCUGUUACCAUGGAAACGGGUGCAAAAGCAUCAGGCGGGAAGAAGCAGGCAAUGAUGAAAGGGGGAGAAGACGAAGGUUACCCAACACAGCACAGCUCAGGCUGCUGAAGGUCCCAUAGGGCACAUUUACGAAGAAGGGUAGAAAAGGUGAGUGAAUUUAGCUGAGCCUGAAAUAACAACACCUGAAAACAUUUUCUUUCCUGGUCUAAAUGCAGUCUUCUUGCUCCAACAUCCCUGUCUAUUGUACCUAAUCCUCAUGAUGAUUAGCCAGACCAUGCCUGAAACAGUAGCCUUUUUUUGUUAUAUCACUGGCUAACUUGAAUUAUUCUGCACAUCAGCUUAUCUCUCCUUAACCUCACCCCCAUUUCCUAGUUAAGCUAAUGCCCAGCACAAUGCUGAAUUGCUUCUGCUUUCUUCCUGGCACCUCUUUUUUGGCACUUCUCAUUUUAUUUUUAAGGAAGGAGGUUACGGUUCUACAUCUUACAGUAUUAGUGUUGGAUAUAGAUGAAACAAUAUUUCAUGUGACUUAUCAUUUAAUUUGUCUUAUAUGUUAGCUUUGGCACUGCCAGCAUUGUAGUCAUGCCAGUAGAGAAACUUUGAUCUGAAUGAGUGUAAAAUUCAGCCAGGCUUGAUGUAGGGUUGCAGAAAAUAAUUUCAAAUAUGAAAAAUCUGGCCCAUGCCUUUGGGGAUACAAGUGCUGUUGAUGCUCUAAAUAUCACAUUUUAUGGGAGGUAUGACCUCUCUGCUAAAAUCAAGGACCAUUUUAGGACAACAUAAGGAGUCACUCUGGGCACGUGUGGAAUUCACCAGACACAUUUUGGGCACUGUCCCAAUCUGAAUCACUGCAGUCGUGGACAUGUAUGGCUCAAGAGACCA